UACGAAGGGGGCUAGCGUUGUUCGGAUUUAUUGGGUGUAAAGGGCAUGUAGGUGGUUUUGUAAGUCAAAGGUGAAAUGGCCCGGCUCAACCAGGUCAUUGCCUUUGAAACUGCAGGACUUGAGUACGGAAGAGGAAAGCGGAAUUCCCAGUGUAGCGGUGAAAUGCGUAGAUAUUGGGAGGAACACCGGUGGCGAAGGCGGCUUUCUGGUCCGAAACUGACACUGAGAUGCGAAAGCCAGGGGAGCAAACGGG
rnacentral:rRNA from 1 species